ACCCACGUAGGUUGGAGUGACUUGCC
rnacentral:piRNA from 1 species